UAUGCAAAAGUAUCGAUAAUU
rnacentral:piRNA from 1 species